rnacentral:lncRNA from 1 species
AGAACUCCUCUGGUGCUGGGAGUGAGGAGUUUCAAGGUGACUGCUUUUUAGCUCCAGGGGAGAAAGGAGGGCACAGUGCCCAAGGCCAUGCCAGGGCAAGGACGGGCCACUGGCCCCCGCCGGCCGGUAGAGUCAACCAGAGGCAAAGCCAGAUUGAGGGUUCCCAGGCUGACAAAUGUCUGCUGCCUCUGCCACAGGAGAGAGAAGGGGAAAGAGGGCAAAAGAAACAAAGACAUCACGCGUUGCAAGUGGCUGGACUUUUA